GUUGAAAGCACAACGCUCUGUGCAAAAUGGGCAAGAAAACACGACCCACCUGACAGUUCUUCCCAGUGUAACCCAGGGGACAGAUACAGCGGUACGUGCCCAGGCUGUCCACGCAAGAGCCUUUGUUCAAGCAAGGACGGGAAUCACACUCGUUAAUUUCUGUGAGGCAGAAGGGUCCAGUAAAUCCCACGGGACACUGGCAAGUAAAGGAAUUGAUCCCAUCCACACAAGUACCUCCGUUGAAACAGGAGCUGCACCAGAGGGAGAACAAAGACACUGCUCAACAGAUGAAUUUGUGUGCUUAACUUGAAGCAUGAAAACACUGCAGUCAAACCAAAUGUCUAUAUUUAAGGCUCACAUUCUUCUGCUGGAAACUGCCUCUGAAGACAGAUUUUUUUCUACUCUGCAUUCCCCAGACCAAAAGCCUACAUAUAUAAAGGCAGGGAGGGAGAAGGAAAAGGAGAGACAGAAGGAUGAAAAAGGUUACAAAAGCAGAGGGUGUUUUUUUUAUCUUUGAGUAUCUUAAAGCACUACUAAAACACAAACUUGAAAACAAAAAUAGACUCUGCCAGAACUCUGCAGUUCAACUCAAGUACAAGAUCAUUCUGUUCACUGGUGAAUGAAGAAACCAGAUGUGAAAGGUAAUUAAAGCUCAUCUAUUGACUGAGAAAUAUGCUCACAUGACAAAAAUGUGUGUUCUAAGAGACACACACCUGCAUGCAUUUAAAGGUCAUCUGACUGCUGCAGAGAAAAAAGCACAUUCCAAGCAAGACCCGGGCAGCUCUGAAAUGUUGUGUCUGUGGCAGCCAGCCAGUUAUGACUCAAGCCAAAAGGUCUGCAUUAAUUUUUCUGGGCCACACAUUUGCUGACAGAAAAAGGAGACUGAGUAUCAACUUUUCAAUAAGUUCUUGUUGUUGGAGGGUUUGUUUGCUUCACAGAUUAAAGACACUUGGCUCAAACCAUGGAAGGUUUCUGUUAGGCUAAAAUGAAGUCAGCUGCAGCAGUAAUCUGAAAUUCUUCUUCAUCCUCAUGGGUGUGCUGCCUAAGGGACAACAGGGGAUGAAUCUCACAGCUCUGAGAACACUUAGGGAUAGAGAGAGAUGUUCCAGUUGUUUAGGAGCACUUACAAAUGUGUUUUUAUCCAAAUAUCCACCUAAAAACUAAUGGGGCAGCAAUCAUUUUGUUGGCUUCAACCAGCAAAGCUCUGGGUUGAUGCACUGUGGCACUUCUUGCACUGUACCUGCUUGCUCAGAAAAAGGCAACCAAAGGCUCAGGCUGAGUCAGAAGUUCUUUCAGCAGCGCUGCUUUGGCUGUCCCACAGGAACUUGUUUUGUUUGGAUCCUUCUCUACAGCAGUCUCAAGUGUAAUUUUUUUUUUCAAGGCAUAACUCCCUAAAUUCAUGUCUAAAGUGGGUAAGACUUUGGUUUGUUGUUAAGCUAUUCUAACUAAAACAUAGAGGUUUGUUGGUUUUGUUGUCUCUUUUUAAGAGCUGGUAAGUGAUAAAAAAAAAACCAACUACAACAUUGUGAACUCCUCCAAGGUUUGAUAAAGCACUUUUAGGCUAGUAACAGAUGAACUCUUC